rnacentral:lncRNA from 1 species
UUUUCAUCGUCAGUUGCAUCACACAUCAAUAUUUAUCUCAAGCAUUAAAUCAUUUAAAUUAUCACAUGCAAAUAAUAAGUUCAUAUAAGUUCAUAAAACAUUCAUUAACACAUAAAAUUUCUUUAUUUAAGCAUAAAAUUUAAUCACGCGAUCAUUAAUUUAAAUUUUGUUAAUUUUACUCUAGAAAAGCUCCUCAGUAUCUUCAAAAGUAAAUACUAAAUUCUCUACUGAAACCCUGGUGUUUCCUACACCAUUUCUUCUUCUCCUCCUCUUCCUCUCUCUCUAGAUCAUUCCUCAUCUCUCUAAAGCUCUUCGGUGGAUGGAAGAAUCAAAUGGAAGUGAUGAGGAAAUGGUGAAGUGAAGGUCCCUAUUUAUAAAAAAUGGAAAUCGUUAGAUUUGUACGAAGUGGCAAAAUCUAGUAAAGAGAGAGAAAGUCACUCAGAAAGGUGAUAUGUGCCGACUGACAGAUGUGACCGAUGGAUGGACGACGCGAUGUUAUAGUAGUGCAAAAACUGGAGGCACACCACCCAAACAAUGGCGACACGUCACGCAAGCGACGACGACACACUGCCCAAG